GUCUGCCAAGAACACUUCGCAGUUCUAGACGUUUUCUGAGUGUCAUGACAGAUCUCACCAAAGAACGCCAGCAACAGCAUGUUCCCCGUAUGCAAACCCAAGACGCAAUUUCACUGGGUCCAUAAGUCCUCCAAAACUUCUGCUGAAGAUCAUCCAGUUCUGCAGGCAGUGGGAUAUUCAACUCCUGAUUCAGAGUCAAUGCCUCAAAACAGUCCUCCAACUUCUGAAAAGCAGGCCUGAAGGAGACCGGAAGUGGAAAGAGGACUUUAGGACAGUGUUGUAGUCGAGACCAGCUCAUUCGAGUCCGAGUCC